rnacentral:rRNA from 1 species
GAUGAACGCUGGCGGCGUGCUUAACACAUGCAAGUCGAACGAUGAAGCCCAGCUUGCUGGGUGGAUUAGUGGCGAACGGGUGAGUAACACGUGAGUAACCUGCCCUUAACUCUGGGAUAAGCCUGGGAAACUGGGUCUAAUACCGGAUAGGAGCGUCCACCGCAUGGUGGGUGUUGGAAAGAUUUAUCGGUUUUGGAUGGACUCGCGGCCUAUCAGCUUGUUGGUGAGGUAAUGGCUCACCAAGGCGACGACGGGUAGCCGGCCUGAGAGGGUGACCGGCCACACUGGGACUGAGACACGGCCCAGACUCCUACGGGAGGCAGCAGUGGGGAAUAUUGCACAAUGGGCGCAAGCCUGAUGCAGCGACGCCGCGUGAGGGAUGACGGCCUUCGGGUUGUAAACCUCUUUCAGUAGGGAAGAAGCGAAAGUGACGGUACCUGCAGAAGAAGCACCUGCUAACUACGUG